rfam:Canis lupus familiaris chromosome 30, whole genome shotgun sequence.
GGGGAGCCUGGCCGACCUGGCCCAGACCUCAGCCCCAUAGCUGAUGGGCUGAGUCAGGGGCCAAGGCUCCCC